rnacentral:rRNA from 1 species
GUGCACGCUGGCGGUAGGCCUAACACAUGCAAGUCGAACGGCAGCACAGUAAGAGCUUGCUCUUACGGGUGGCGAGUGGCGGACGGGUGAGGAAUGCAUCGGAAUCUACUUUUUCGUGGGGGAUAACGUAGGGAAACUUACGCUAAUACCGCAUACGACCUACGGGUGAAAGCAGGGGAUCUUCGGACCUUGCGCGAUUGAAUGAGCCGAUGUCGGAUUAGCUAGUUGGCGGGGUAAAGGCCCACCAAGGCGACGAUCCGUAGCUGGUCUGAGAGGAUGAUCAGCCACACUGGAACUGAGACACGGUCCAGACUCCUACGGGAGGCAGCAGUGGGGAAUAUUGGACAAUGGGCGCAAGCCUGAUCCAGCCAUACCGCGUGGGUGAAGAAGGCCUUCGGGUUGUAAAGCCCUUUUGUUGGGAAAGAAAAGCAGCAGGUUAAUACCCCGCUGUUCUGACGGUACCCAAAGAAUAAGCACCGGCUAACUUCGUG